CUGCGGCAGCGAACGUAUCACUUAAAGCGAUUCAGCGGGUUACGAUUGACGGAGCGAAGCGACGUCAAAGCGUAUACAAAGUCGAGUCGGUUUAAGGAUACGUUCGUUGGGUAGGGGAGCGUUCUGUAAGCCUGUGAAGGUGUGUCGUGAGGCAUGCUGGAGGUAUCAGAAGUGCGAAUGCUGACAUAAGUAACGAUAAAGCGGGUGAAAAGCCCGCUCGCCGGAAGACCAAGGGUUCCUGUCCAACGUUAAUCGGGGCAGGGUGAGUCGACCCCUAAGGCGAGGCCGAAAGGCGUAGUCGAUGGGAAACGGGUUAAUAUUCCCGUACUUGGUGUUACUGCGAAGGGGGGACGGAGAAGGCUAUGUUGGCCGGGCGACGGUUGUCCCGGUUUAAGCGUGUAGGCUGGUUUUCCAGGCAAAUCCGGAAAAUCAAGGCUGAGGCGUGACGACGAGGCACUACGGUGCUGAAGCAACAAAUGCCCUGCUUCCAGGAAAAGCCUCUAAGCAUCAGGUAACAUCAAAUCGUACCCCAAACCGACACAGGUGGUCAGGUAGAGAAUACCAAGGCGCUUGAGAGAACUCGGGUGAAGGAACUAGGCAAAAUGGUGCCGUAACUUCGGGAGAAGGCACGCUGACACGUAGGUGAAGUGAUUUACUCAUGGAGCUGAAGUCAGUCGAAGAUACCAGCUGGCUGCAACUGUUUAUUAAAAACACAGCACUGUGCAAACACGAAAGUGGACGUAUACGGUGUGACGCCUGCCCGGUGCCGGAAGGUUAAUUGAUGGGGUCAGCGCAAGCGAAGCUCCUGAUCGAAGCCCCGGUAAACGGCGGCCGUAACUAUAACGGUCCUAAGGUAGCGAAAUUCCUUGUCGGGUAAGUUCCGACCUGCACGAAUGGCGUAAUGAUGGCCAGGCUGUCUCCACCCGAGACUCAGUGAAAUUGAACUCGCUGUGAAGAUGCAGUGUACCCGCGGCAAGACGGAAAGACCCCGUGAACCUUUACUAUAGCUUGACACUGAACAUUGAGCCUUGAUGUGUAG
rnacentral:rRNA from 1 species